UCUGCACAUGACCAAAGGCAUUAGCGUAAGCAAUAUUUUAAAACUGCAUGGUGCCGAUGGCUCAACUACCAGGGUCACAGAAAGGGCAAAGCCAAUUCCAAUGAAAGCAUGCUCUAGUUUACCUUAGUAAGCUAUUUGGGAAACAAGGUCCUGUAAGGGAAGUGGGGAGAGGGAAAACGAACAGGAGAUGGCUAAUUCUGUUCACCCACCCUUCCAUCCUGUAAUGCCAUUCUGAAAUGCUAUAUUAAGUCCUUGUACUGUAAAGAGUUGAGAUUAAUUGCAUAGGUGAACCCUAUCCCAAGUUAAUAACCAAAUGGAGAAAAAGAGGGGGUAUUAACAAGUAAUUUUUGCAGAUUAAUUGAAUUGCAAAAUUUUAACAACCAGACAUUAUUGGGUAUUUCUGUAGCACAUUGAAUAGGACAAGCUGCUUCAUGGUUUUUAAUUGCACUCAUUUUAUGAGCUCCAUAACUAUUUUCCAGGCAAGGGGGCUUAACGAAGGGAAUAAAUAUUUCUACUGCACUUUGCAGUGUAUAAAGUCUGAGACACCAUUAUCUUGAUGCUAAAUUCCAGAAAGGGUCAAGCAUGCCAGAAGUAAUUUUUUUUGCAAUGUUAGCUUAUUUCUUUUUAAGGAGAGUUCACCUUAAAAGGUGAACAAUAAACGACGGAGCAAUCCAGGCAUGUCCAUCGGAAGUUAAGACUCACCGAGCUCAAUGGAGCUUAGUCCUAGGAAUGGGCGCACAGCUUUUAGCCUCAGGCUGCAAUCCUAUGCACGCUUCCCCGGCACUGCUUUGCUAGGCUGCUCGUCUUUAAGUGCCACCAGCCUCUGAGUGCUUCCUUAUCUUAACUAUCUGCGACAAAUUCUACGCUCCGCUCCCGUGGAAAAAAUGCAAAAAGUCUCCCUAAGGAGCGGCAGCCAAGGCCAGGAUCCCGCCGCGCCCCCACCCGUCGCCGUCCUUCCAGCCCAAAUGCAUGUAAUGGAGAGCGAUCGCCCGAAGCGCACUCAGCAGAUUGCCAUCUGCGCAGUAUUUCGAGUUUCCCCUGCCUCGCUGCCCGCUCUUUGUUUUCCAAAUAGUUCUGCCCUGACAUCAUCGGGGUUUGGAUUGCAAUUAACAUUCCUGCGAAGUGAGAGCGAGAGCUCCGGGCUCCGGGAAGCAGCGGCCAGCGGCAGGCCAGACAAAGCCAAGGCGGCCGCGCGCGAGAGGGAUGCCCCUAGCAGCACCUGCCCGCCCAGCCCACGCGCGCCCCCCAGCCCCAAGCAGCAGCACCCUGGUCCCACCCACGCCUGGAAACGUUACCUGCCCGCGCACGAGAGAUUCGGGCAAGGCGAACCGAGAAUGAAGACAACCUAGGAAAAGUCUGGGGAGAUUUUUUUCUCUCUUUUUUUGGUGGCGGGAGAGGACACCAGAAGGAGGCAAGGAGCUACGCACCUCCAGAUCAAAAUUUAGGAGGGAAAGCCAGAAAAUUUGUCCAAGGCAAAGCAAACAGGGCAAUCGCUUUGGAGGUCUCUCUCCCCCCUCCCCCGUUUUAUAGCAAGAGUUCGGGUUUUGGAUGGUUUGAUCUCCCACCAGUGUGUCACCAGACAGUCGCCACGGUGAGAGCCGACUCCAAAUGCGGGGAAAGUUGGCCGCUGCUUGGCGGUCUCCAGCUAUGCCGAAGGACAUAUGUCACACAGCCAUUCUCGGUGUGUCUCUCUCUCGCGCGCGCUCCCCUUGCUUGCAGUCGCUCCCGCGUGGCGCGGAACUUACCGGACCAUCGCAGCCCCACAAUGGCUUCGUGCUAAACUGCGGGCUCGGUUCGGACCCGCUCUUAGCGCCGGGCAGGAAGCGAGGGCUCAACCCCAGCAAAUGUCCGGCUCCGCGGCUUGCGCGCUCCUCCUGGCUUCAGCGCCUGAGUGAGCCGAGGGGGUGCAUGUAAAGCCCCGCGCAGCGCCUGCCUGCGUCCGCCCCUGCUGGAAGGAAGGCAAACUGAGCGCACAGCCUGCCUCCGCCAGCUGUAAUGAGAGCCGGGGAGGCUGGGCCGCGCGAAGAGGCUGCUGCUGCUAUGCCAGGAAUGCGAGAGCGCCAGGUCCGCCUCCCCCCACUCCGCGAUCAAAAGCUGCUCGCUGCAAAGAGAGGCUUGUCGAGGCGGCUCGGCAGCCUGUUCGCUCCCGCGGUUGCGAUUAACGCCGGAGCCCGGGAGGGGGCGCGACGCUGCGUCCCCACUAGCCGUGCGGCCCAGUCGGCGCGCGCCGCGGAAUAAUAGCCUGACGCCUCGCUGUGCGAAGGAAGGAGGCCACGAAUGCGCUGGAAAUGUUCAUUUGCUAUCUAUUCUAAAUUGGCUGAGGGGCACGCAGAUAUUAGGUCGGACUCCAGAGCGUAGAACUCGCCUAACUUCCCCAGUUACUCCCAUUGCUUAAGCCUCUCUCCGCCCCCACCCCCAACUCAGCUACGUUUUCUUCUAAAAGAGGGGCAGGGGGAGCUUGUUUUGUGAGGAGUCUCCAAAAAUAAAUUAGUUGCUCCUGGCCAUUUCUAAUACAUCUUCCAGACAGCGGAGUUCCCCCGCAGCCAGUUUAUUUAAGACCAUUACUGUACAGUUUAAUAGAGGAAAUAUAUUUUAAGCAAUAGGCAGCAAGUUUUUAAAAAGGCACCAAUUACAAAAAUAUGCAAUGAAACCUUCAACACAAACGGCCAAUAAAGUAUCAGUACUGUAAUUGAGUACUGAUAGUAACCGCUUCUCACUGACCACACCACUCAGCCUCUUACCAGACCGCAAACUCACCAACUAUUGCAUGUACAAAGCUGAACUGGUCCCCUGAACUGGCUGAGGGUAGAGUUUGCUUUUAUGAGAUUUGUCAGGCUGCCCACAGCUGUGUCCUAUUCAAUCAAUAAACUGCUCUUCACACACCCAGUUCUCCAGCUUAGGGGGCUGAAAGAGGUGGAGUUGCACAAAUGCAAAAAGAUAGCAAAUGUGACUCCUUCCACUCACAGUUCUUCCUCAACUUUCUACACUCACCACUCCUCUUCCAGCUGUUUUGGAGAGGAUCCCAAAUUUUGGGGUUCCUGAUGUUUCCCUGUCCUUUGGCAAGGCUGCUUACUUUUCUGGGCAGGCCUCAAGAUCUGAUGGCAAGGCCUCAGGCUUACUACAGUUGUGCCCCAUUCAGCAAUCUAUCAGCUGCUGAAAACAUCCAAUUCCAGACUUAGCAGAGAGGGAAGAUACUCCAUGCAAAAAAAUAACCACCAACGUAGGGCUUUGUGACUGCAACUUUUAGACUGCGCUGAAUCUCUGGUGUGCUGCUUAGGCUAGCAAGGAUUGGCCCUGUUUCCCCUGUGGCUUGUGUACAUUGUCAGGCAUCCUGAAUCAGCAUAUCUGACCCUUGAAAAUACCUUUAUCUGGAUGUACCCCAACAGUAAUGGCAUCUCUAAGGGCGACUCUAGUAAGUGGAUAAAGAAGGUUGUAAAGGAACAACGGAGCCAGCAGAGGGGGAUGUGUGUAACCAGCUUUGCCACACUUGCCCUUGCAUUAAUAUUUGCCUCUGAUUUUGGUAUAAUUAAAACAAAGCGUGUAGAGCUGAGUCUACCACCACAUGCUUGAGAUGGCAGAUUAAUUUGUCUACCUGGAUUCCUCCAUAACCAGCAGCCUCUCCAUUGAUGCUGAGCUGGACAAGUGUAUUUGCAAGGCAGCUACGGCAUUGGUUUGCCUCUCCAAAAGGGAGAACAUGAUGCUAAUGUCCAAUACCAAGAUGAAGGUCUACCAGGCUUGUUUAUGGUAGUGAAUCAUGGGCAACUUACACCUGCCAGGAGCAACAUUUCAAUGCCUUCCAUAUGCACUGCAUCAGGAAGAUUUUGAGCAUCACUUGGCAGGACAGAUGUGCUCUCCCAAGCCCAUAUUCCCAGCAUUUUCACACACCUGUCUCAAAUAUGUCUAUGCUGGCUGGGUCAUUUCCACAGAAUGGAAGAUGGUGGGACCAUCUUGCUGUUUUUGGUCUCCAGCUGUCUUCAGACUACAAUGCCCAUUAUCCCUGACCACUGGUCUUGCUAGCUAGGGAUGAUGGGAGUUGUGGUCCAAAAACAGCUGGAGACCCAAGGUUGGCAAACAGGUCUGGCUUCAGGCACCAUGUCUCUGUUACAAGGUAAAAGGUAAAGGUACCCCUGCCCGUACAGGCCAGUCGUGUCAGACUCUAGGGUUGUGCGCCCAUCUCACUUAAGAGGCCGGGGGCCAGCACUGUCCGGAGACACUUCCGGGUCACGUGGCCAGCGUGACGAAGCUGCUCUGGUGAGCCAGCACCAGCGCAGCACACGGAAACGCCGUUUACCUUCCCGCUGGUAAGCGGUUCCUAUUUAUCUACUUGCACUUAGGGGUGCUUUCGAACUGCUAGGUGGGCAGGAGCUGGGACCGAAAGACGGGAGCUCACCCCGCCGCGGGGAUUCGAACCGCCGACCAUGUGAUCGGCAAGCCCUAGGCGCUGAGGUUUUAUCCACAGUGCCACCCGUCUGUAUUACAAAGAUGUCCACAAAAGUAGCAUGAAUGCUGGCAACAUUAACCCUGCUGUGUAGGAAUCCCUUGUAGACAACCACAGUGCCUGGGGACAAUCAGACUGGUCACGUAUCCACAACAGUGACCAGAGGAGGAAUGACUGCCGGAAGGAACACAGAGAGAAGAAACACGAUGGCAGAGGUGGAUUUAGGGGAGUAUAACUGGUUUAGCCAUUCUGGACACUAAGCUGAGAGGGCACCACAAAGGGCACUGCAACAAUGAUGAACAAUGGAAGGCAAGAAGCAGCAGGGGGGAAGGUGAUGAAGUUUGGCAGCGCACAAGGUGCUACUGAAAUUUUAAAGCCCAAAGUCGGCUACUGGCCAUGGUGCAUCUGUAGCAGCACAACCGGAUGCCUUCAUGUGCCCCAUCAGCAAUAAAACAUGUCUCUCUUGUAUUGGUCUCAGCAGGUACUGCAACCUUUCAACAGUUUGACUUUACCCCCCCCAAAGGCACACUCCUCUUUUAUCUUCCCAUGAAACUACCCUAUUAUAUUAGCCAUUGUUCACUGCUAUAACAGUGCAGGAAGAAAUCUAACUGGUCUGCUUGGAAUUUUUUUGGGGGAUGCUUCUUGCUGGAUUCCUGGGGUACAGUCCCAGAAUAGUUUUUUCUCUCUUCAUACCAGGGCAUAAAUCUCCCAAAGCAUUUAUUUUAAUUUUUAAAAUGUACGUUGCUUUUCAGCCAAAGCAGUUUGCAAAGCUGUGAAACGUUGCAAGGUGUCUUAAACCUUCAGGCUGACUUGAGAGGAGAGUGUAGGGGGCACAGAAUGCUUUGCCCUCUCUGCUGGGUAGCUAGUGCCAGCCUCAAGGACACUGAGGGUCGUGGGACCAAAAUUCCAGGCAACAAGUCACAGAACCAUGCCAGAAUUGAGCCUGCUUAAUAAUAAGUGCUUAUUAUUAUUAUUUUUGAAAUAUUUUCCCCUCUGCCUUUCCAUCCAGUAAUGGGAUGCUCAAGACAGCUACCAUAAGAAGUGUGAUUUCAUAAAUACAAAAACAAAAGCACUACAGUCCUCUGUGUUUGUCCUGAAGAUUGCAUGCUAAGAAGGGGAGAGGUCUCCGCAUCUUUCAGAAGGGGACCUAGCCCCUUUUCUGUUUAAUCUCCGAACAAAGAAGAAAAAGUACAAGGGCUUAUUAUGUGUACUAUAUGGGGAAGAGUCCUUAGUCUAAGUUUUCUGGGCAAUUUGGUUGUGGAUUCAGGGAGUUCAUUCUUGGAAAUUCUGUUCAUGUAUUUGUGUGUCUGCAUGAGGCGAGUGCAGGCAGCUUGCUGUUAGAGGAGGGGUAUUUAUUGACUGGGGAUAAGCAUUCUGCCUGCCAGCUGCCUGUGGAAAUAAAUCUUAUUUAAUCAAAGCUGUGAGAGGAUCUGUUGUCUUUAAUGCCAAAGAAGGCUGAUUAAAAAAGAAAGAACCUGCCUUUACCAUCUGCUCCUCUCACUGCACACCCCACAAUGAAGCUUCUCUUCCCCCCCAUCUGCCCCCAUUUGACAGGUGAUGGCUGUUUGCAACUAACAAAAAGGCACAAUAUCCUUUGUCUUGCAGGAACAUUCCAGGGGGUGGCUUGGGAAUUCCUCUCCCCUUUCCUGCUCUUCCCUCAAGAUGGCAAGUUUCCAAAUAUUUCCUGCUUUACUCCGAGGACAGACAGCCAAGGAGAUGGAAUAGAUUUUGAUUUUGUGACUGAGGAUUAGACUGAAGGCUGAAGACAACACCGGAUUAGAAUAUAGGUGCAGAAGCUUUAGAAGAAACAGGAGGGCAGGCAUAAAGGAGAAGACACUUUUGUUUAUUACAUGUUAUCUCCGGCAGAACAGAGCCUCUAAGGAAUUAGAUCAACCCUAGAAAACAAAGCAGUAAAGUUUCCUAAUAUGUCACUGGUUGUUUUUUUCCUUGCACCCUGUGGGUGCAAAUGAUAAGUUGCGUGGCUGAUCACUAGCCACGUUGGAAAAAAUAUCUGAUUAUUGCUCACAGCAGUUGUGGACCCACAUUUCAUGUGGUGAGCAUUAUGAUAAUGGCUUUUUAUGGAAGUGCUCUGCUUUGAUAAAUAGAAAAGACUGUGGCUUUGAGUGUUUGGCAGCAGAAAUGCAGGCAACAGAAGCACAACCAUGAGGAAAGUCAUGAGGUGUAGGUGCGACAAAUGAGGAACAGAAGUGCAUUUAUGGUACAAUGAACUGAUUGUGCGGAAGAGCCCAAGGCAUGAAGCUGGCAAUAUCCCUUUGAAAAGAAAUAUUUAACAAAGACAUAUAAACAUACAAUAAGUAUAUCUGCAGCCUAGUCCUAGUCACUGGAAACUUUUUUAUUUUUAGUGUUACAUAACUUCUGGGAAAUGCUCAGACUUCAGCUUGCAGAACUGGGAAGGAGGCACAGAAAACACCUUUCUAUAUUUUCAGUAUUCCGAUUUAACCCAUGGAGAUCACUAUCAAGUAAAAAACACACCUAUCAGGAAGUAAAGUUAACUGAUUUUAACAAAACUUGAUUGCUUGUAAAUGUGUUUAGGAUUACAAUGUAAGGAAGGGAUUAAUCCAUGGGUAGGCAAACUAAGGCCCGGGGCCCCAGGUCCGGCCAAAUCGCCUUCUAAAUCUGGCCUGCGGACGGUCCAGGAAUCAGUGUGUUUUUAAAUGAGUAGAAUGUGUCCUUUUAUUUAAAAUGCAUCUCUGGGUUAUUUGUGGGGCAUAGGAAUUUGUUCAUUCCCUCCCCCCAAAAAUAUAGUCCGGCCCCCCACAAGGUCUGAGGGACAGUGGACCGGCCCCCUGCUGGAAAAGUUUGCUGACCCCUUUACAUUCAUCUUCAGUAAUGGUGCAAUGCCAAUGUGUCUGUUCAAUUUUCUGAUGGGUCCAUUCAUUAUAUGGGGCUACUGACCUAAAUGACAGGUUUAUUAGGGUUAUCAUGUCAUUGCCUGGAGAUGAUAAUGUACAAAGGCACUAAAAAAAGGACAUAUUUUCUGUGCUUCACACAGAAUAUUCCCAUCCAAUAGGUUCCACUCUGGUGGGAAGGUAAACGGCAUUUCCGUGCACUGCUCUGGUUCGCCAGAAGUGGCUUAGUCAUGCUGGCCACAGGACCUAGAAAAACUGUCUGCGGAAGUGGGCAAAUGCUGGCUCCCUUGGCCUGCAAAGCGAGAUGAGCACCACAACCCCAGAGUCGUUCGUGACUGCACUUAACUGUCAGGGGUCCCUUUACCUUUACCUUUAGUAGAGAAAUGGGGCAGGAUGUGCAUGUUUAAUGGAUGUAAAGUAUUGGCACUAUCUUCUGGCAAGAUCCUGGGAAUCCUGACUGGACAUGUACCACUUAUGGCUUGGUAAUGGUGAUCCUUGUAGGUGAUCAAGAGAUUGGUGUUCCACUUAAACAUAAAACAACUUUGACUGACAGUCUCUUGGGACCUCAAGUACUAGCCACCCCAGUUUUGAAAUUAUGUCAACAGCACAUUUUAAAAUUAGGAUUGCUACCUGCUUGUCAUGCAUAAACCAUGUUAGGUUAAUGUUUUCAACAUACCAGAGAGCUCUUUAAAAGGAUGAACAGGUUUGUUGUGACGUGAACUUGUGUAAUCAGUUACGGAAUCAUUUUUAUUGUGGCAUGCGCUUCAGUUAAAUGACAUGGGCUAAAGGAAUAGAUGGCUGUGUAAAUAUAUGGGCUGUAAUCCAAGGGUGUUUCCACGGAUGGAAGUCAAUAUUUAAAUUUCACAUACUGCUGUGAUGAUGUCACAAACAUCUGCAUCAUGAAUAUUCAGAAUGAUGCAUUUUCUUGCUCCUACCAGUAACUUUGAGACUGAAAGAUUAUUCCCUAGUAAGACAGUUCCAGUGAUACAUUUUCAGUAAUACUGCUAAGUAGCAAAUGGGACCUGCAACAAAAUGAAUGUUUAUGGACAUUUCUUUUUAAAAACAGGAAUGGAGCUAUAAGAAAGGGGAAAUCACAAAGGAGGCGUAUACACAAGUAGUCAACAGUUGCAGGGUGAAGGCUGGCUAAAGCUCAGAAUGAGCUCAGGCUUGCAAGAGAAGUUAAAAAUAAUUAAAAAGGUGUCUUUGGCUAUGUCUGAAGUAAGUGGAAGAACAAGCAAGUGGUAGGUUCUCUGUGUGGGAGGAGAAAUGCUAUUGUGUGACAGAGAGAAGGCGGAACUACUCAACACCUACUUCUGGGGGGAGGGGCAUCUUCUCCCAACCCGUUUACAGCCAGUGUGGUGUAGGAUGACCUUGGGCUAGACUAGGCUUCCUCAACCUCAGCCCUCCAGAUGUUUUUGGCCUACAACUCCCAUGAUCCCUAGCUAGCAGGACCAGUGGUCAGGGAUGCUGGGAAUUGUAGUCUCAAAACAUCUGGAGGGCCAUGGUUGAGGAAGCCUGGGCUAGACACUAGCUCUCAGCUUCACGUAUUUCACAGACUUGUUGUGAGGAUAAAGUAGUGGGAUUCAGGUAUGCCAACCUGAGUUCCUUGCAUGAACAGUGGGAUAAAAAUGUACUAAAGAAUAAUAGUUGUUUGCACAUGGAAUCAGUUCCAACACAUCAGUGUACUGGAGCAGAGAUUCUGUGCCCUCAUAUCUUAUUUGUUUGUUUAAAGAUGUUCCUCAGCUGCUCUUAAUCAUAGUCAAUCCUAGAGUCCAAUGCAUAACACAAACAUUCAGUUAAAGAAAGUGAGUGUGGUGUAGUGGUUACAGAGUCCUAUUAGGACCUGGGAGACCAGGAUCCAAAUCCCCAUUCAGCCAAAAAAGCCCACUGGGUGACCUUGGUUAGUUACUAUUUCUCAGCCUAACCUACCUCUCGAGGUUGUUGUGGGGAUAAAAUGCGGAGAUGGAGACAUGUGCAUGGCACCUUAAACUCCCUGGAUAUAAGGUGGGAUGAACGUAGCAGCAGCAGCAGCAACAACAACAACAACCAUCACACACAGAACUAUUCAUCAUAAAGAAUAAUAGCACUUAAAAACCAAAGAAAGUACUACCAAACUGUGGGGUGGGUUACACAUCCUCCAUCAAAAGAUGAUAUAAUAAGUUGCAUACGUCUGGGCAAAUAAAUGAUACAUCUCUUGAUGCCAAGUGUGCUUCCAGGUGAUCUCUUGCACAGGUGAUCAGGGCAACCAUGAACUAACCCCUUUUAGCCACUGUCUUGUAGGAAUAGCUAUCUCCCUUCCUUCCUGUUGGGUCUCAUGUCACCACACUUCCUCCAUUUUCCUUUGAUUUGCUUGGCCUUGGCCUUUGAAGAGGUUCACUGUGACAGAGUUUAAAACACACAUCACUGCAUGGAUCCAGCAAAUCCAUUGCACAAGGCCAGCUUAGAAUGAAUGAAAAAUUCUGGGAGCAGAGGGUGGGAAAUAUCUCCAGCUUGGCAUGGAAUCAUUCUCAGGUGGCUACAGCAAGUUUGAACGCUCCACUAAAACUACAGAAGUCACAGCCCAAUACAUCAAAAGGGUUGUAGGUUACUUUCCGGUUUGCUGAUUAGGUAGUUUCAGGUUCUAGUUUUGUUUUUGCAUAAUCACUGUAGCUAGAGCCAAGUCAAAGCCGCCUUGAAAAUAAAGCACAGGACACAAUAGAAAUGAAACUAGAGUGCACUGCAGAUGGUGGAAAGUGGAAAACUCAUCUUUUGACCUUUGUGCGAUGCUGAGUUUCCAAUUCUCUCUGUCCGCUUGGCCCUCCAGACCCAGAGGCAGCUGCAGAUGUUUCAAAGACAAUGUGCAAUACUGAUUUAUAGGAGACAGCAUGUUCCCUUAUGUACUCCUGCCUCAGCACAAUUAUCUUUGAAUAGUAAGAAGCCCGAUUCACCUUCCAACUUUUCAUUGUUCUGUAUGGAAAUGGGAGAUGCCACUAAACAGAUGCUAUCUCUGGAACACAACAGAAAAGUCUUAGUUGAAGGGCUUUGGAAUAGGCUGAUAAGCAUCAACCACUGAGUGAUCCAAGCCUCUGCAAUCUUAAUUCAUAUUCUUGCUCAUUUGUUGUUGCUAAACAUAUUUAGCAGAAAAAGAGCAGAUUUCAUGUAGGCCUGGGAUAAGCAACUUGGUACCCUCCAGGUGUUGUGAACUACAACUUCCACCAGUCCCAACCAGGAUGGGCAGUGGUCAGGGAUGAUGGGAGCUGCAGCCCACAUCAUCUGGAGCAGACUUUCUCAACCAUGGGUGCCCAGGUGUUGUUGGACUACAACUCCCAUCAUCCCUAACUAGCAGGACCGGUGGUUAGGGAUGAUGGAGGGUUGUAGUCCAAUAACAUCUGGGGACCCAAGGUUGAGAAAGGCUGAUCUGGGGGGUACUAUUUUAGCUACCCUGAUGCUCCUACCUGUGCCUAUAGUAUGACAUCAGGUGUGGUGUCUGUGGGUUUGAGGACUCAUGGUCUGAGAUCGGGCCCCUAUUUGGCUUAACUGGGCUCACAGGCUGGAGAUUCCCCACCAGUGGUCUAAAGGCAUAUGAUGCAGUAACCCUGACAGUGCUAAGCAGGUGAGCACCUGGUCAUUUCCUGGAUGAAAGCCUAAUAUAUGCUGUUUCAAGUUUAAUUGUGGGAAAAUGUGGAGUAUGAUAGAAAGAAGAUUCUAUCUGCAUUCUAAUCACACACUUUUCCUGACAUUUAUUGGCCUUAUGCUUCAGUUGAAAUGGGAAAUUAUUACUAAUACUUUUUUUGUCACUUUGGGCUAGAUUUGUACACAACAGGAUCUCUCAGUUACAUAUGCUUUGAAAAUAUAUAUUCAUAUGCUAUUGUUUUGUUUCUGAAUAGGCCAAAACCUGUUUCCCCGAGUUCAGAAAACGAUGUCUGCAUUAAAGUCACUGUUCUUUGUAGGCUCUCUGCGGCAUUUCCCAGCGUGCCUCCUGCGCAGGUGGGCAGAAUUAUUUGCUCCCAGCCCAGAACAAUUCUGCUUGCUGCUUUGUGAGCAGCACAACAUUUUGUCACACGCUUUUGAAAAUGUGUUUUUCGCAUGACCCCAGUUGGUGAGGAGUAAACUUUGUCCCUAGAUGCGUGUGAUGCUGUAGUUUUAAUGUCAACAUCAAGGUCAUUUUUUAUGUUUAAGUGUAGCCUUCGUUUCAUGUCAAAGCAAAAUUAUUUUUCUUAAUAAUGUGGGAGGGGCUCUGGGGAGGGAGACAGGCAUCCCUUUGUAUAAAGUCACACACACACUGCCUUCCUCCCCUCCCCCUCCCCUCCGCUGUUUACAUUGACAUGGUAAUGUCUGGAAUGCAGCUAUUUCCUCUUCUGUUCCCAAUACAAUGCAAGGGGACAAAAGGCAGCAAUUUGCUCACCUCAGGUCAAAGACUAACUCUCAUGCCCUUCCCUGAACACCAUGAGUCCCUGCUGUAUAUUCCUUCUCACUAUCCCAUUAUCUCAGCAGGGGGGGUGGAGAGAGCCAUUCCUUCUCAUCAGGAGACCUGCUCUAACAUCAGUCCCUUUGGUAUGAAAAAGCUUUUCUCUCACGCACCCCUUAUGCCCUAAUUUCCAACAGACCCUUCUGUUCACAGACCCUUCUGUUUGGACCCCUCUCUGCAGAGAGGUGGAUUGUUGGUAGGUAAGGAGAGCUUUGGAAACUGAAAAGCUGGCCCUGGGGUUUAUUACACCAAAACCCACAGGGAAAAACAUCCCUCGGACUCCUAGUCUGAUGAGAGGACCAUACAGGAGAAUUUAAGGAAGCAUCCCUGAGUUUGGGAACCCACAAAACCUUCUCCCAGAUUUGUCCUUGAAGUUGACCCUUCUCUUGGUGGAUUUAGUAAAAAAAAAUCCAUAUUAAAAGCCCCCCACCAGUCCUUCCUAAUUAAUAUGUCCUUUAGUUUUUUAUUCUUUUUGUAAGCCAGCAUGAGAAUAUGGUUGAAGCAUGCUAUAAAAAUACUUCUUUUAAAAAGUACUACAGCAACAGAAGGAACAAACCAAACAGAAAAACCUUCCAGAUUCAUAUGUACGCAAAGACUGGUUCAAAUAUGUAGUACACCAAUGGUCCAAAAUUUGAUGUAGGUUAAAUGUUUCACAUACAGUAUAUCCCAUACCACCUACAGUAUUUAAAUGUGUGAAUUUUCAUCUAGGUUGUUUUGGAGACUGUUUGAAUCAUCCAGCCCCCACCAAAAGUUGUUGUAAACUACAGUCACACUAAGACACCACAGCAAUUUCCUUCACAUGGCAAGUGGUUUCUGGAUUCUACCUCAGCCCAUGAAUUUUCUUUGAUUUUCAUGUGACGUUUUCAGGGUAGCUUUCUUCUUCCUAGUAGAACCAACCUGAACCUGACUGAAUCUAAAAUGCAUCUCUCAGACUAAUCUUGCUCUAAUCAUUUCCCUCCACUCAUUUCCCCUUGAGUAUCUAGUUUCUAAAAGUAUAAGCCUAAGAGCAGGGUUUAUCUAGAUCUUAAUUUUGCUGAACUAUAUAAACAUUACAUUAAAUGCGGGGCUGGGUCUUGCACUUUUAUUUUACCUUUAAAUAGCUGCUGUACCUGCCCCCAAUCAGGAUUGGGGCUGCAAUGUGUCUGGAGGGUUUUUUUGUUUUUGUUCUUUUAAAAUGCCUUAUAUCUUCACUGUGGUACCCCGAUGAAAACGUUACACACACUCACCCUUGAGCUGUAUUUCUGUGCAGAGGGGAAAUGUCAUCAGCACCAGUGGCAACUUCCCUUCCAGUGCAGAUGGAUCUUUCAAUGGGUGCAGGGGUAAAGGGUUUUAAAAAACCAACCCUCCACCAAUGCAAUGGCCCCAAUCCUGCUUAAGACCUCUUGUGAAUGCUAUUAAAGGGGGGGGGAAUAAACAUGAAAGCCAAACCAUGCAUGAUCAUAAUCUGCAGUUUGACUAAUUCCUGGAUAUAUUCUAGAAAGAACCACCACAUGGAGAUGAACACUCAUUCAUGGGAAUAUCUGCAGAAGAAUGGCAUAUCUUGCAGAGGCAGCCAGUAGGUUUCAAAGAGUAAUAAUAAUAAUAAUAAUAAUUUAAUAUUUGUACCCCACCUAUCUGGCUGGCUUUCCCUAGCCACUCUGGGCGGCUUCCAACGAAGAUUAAAAAUACAUUAAAAUGUCACACAUUAAAAAAUUCCCUAAACAUGGUUGCCUUCAGAUGUUUUCUAAAUGUCAGGUAGUUGUUUAUCUCUUUGACAUCUGAUGGGAAGGCAUUCCACAGGGAGGGUGCCACUACCGAGAAGGCCCUCUGCCUGGUUCCCUGUAGCUGGCAAGCUGGCAAAUCUGCCUUAGGGGUAUUUAACAAUAUCCUUCAGCUAUAAACUGCAUGGACCAUUGCAAUUGACUUUUUUUGCUUCAGAGGGUGUAGAGCCUGUGUGUGUGUGUGUGUGUGUGUGUGUGUGUGUGUGUGUACGUCUCACUCUGUUCCCUUUGCUCAAGAAGGUGUGACAGUGCUGUGUGGCUAAGCAGGUGAGUCUUUCUACAGUCUUUUUACAACCAAAGCACUAUUAGAAGCACAGGAGCACAGGAAGCUGCCAUAUACUGAGCCAGACUGGUCCAUCUAGUUCACCUGCAGUGACCCUCCAGGCUUUUAGGCAGAGGACAUUCCCAGCCCCACCUGGAAAUACUGGGAAUUGAGCCUGGGACAUUCUACAUACAGACUGCAGAGCAGGGAAAUAAUGUGAAUCUGUGUCGAUGUGCCUAAUACUCUGCCCAGGGAGGCUUGUCUGGUACCUUCAUUCCAUAUCUUUUAGGUGCCAGACAAAAAUGUUUCUAUGUAACCAGGCCUUGCUGCAAAACUGCUGCAAAACUUUGGAACAGAUUUGGAGUGAAUGUUGGGUUUUGGAGUUAUAGCUAAGACCCUCCUUUUGAGUAUCAACUACUCAGUUUGUGGGGUGCUGUAAAAUGUGCGGUUUCCGCUGCAAAACACAGCAAAACCAUUGCCAUUUUGGCACAGGUUUGAAGUGAUUUGGACACUGUUGGAUUUUUGGGUUUUUGCUGCAUAACAACUGCGAAACAUUCACACAGAUUUGGAGAGGAUCCAAAUUGUUGGGGUUCAUAGUUAAUUAUCUUGGCCGAUUAAACAACCAAUGGCCUUUUACAUGUGUUUGUGGGAGAGCGGUUAUUUGUUUCUGUUUUUUGUAUUUUAUGUCUUUAUUUUGUAUUUUUAUGUUGUGAAACACCCUGCGAUCUUCGGAUGAAGGGUGGUAUACAAAUUUAAUUAACAACAACAACAACAACUGAUGAUCAGACAUAGGCUCACCCACAAAAUAAAUCAGUGCACACAUAGUAACAAUUCAUCUUAGAAAUGAAGAAAAUCUCCAAGGAGAUAAUCAAAGGUGCUCCAUUCUUUUUUUAAAGAAAGUUCAAUUUUCUGCAGUGCAAAAAGAGAGAGAUAAGAACCUUAGAAGAAACAACAGACACAGGGAAGUGUAGUGGUUUGAGUGUUGGACUAAGACCCAGAAGACAAGGGUUCAAAUCUCUACUCAGCCAUGAAGCUCACUGGGUAAAAGACUUACCUACCUCACAGGGUUGUUAUGGGGAUAAAAUUUAGAAGGGGGAAGCCACCUUGAACUCCAUGGAGGAAAUGUAGGGUAUAAAUGUAAUAAUAAAUACAAAUGGGGAAGACAAUGCAUUUAAGAGGAAGCUUUGUAAAUGCCCAGUGAAAAUGGACAGUGGCUCUUAGACUGUCUUGCUAACAAUACAGUGGUGCCCCGCAAGACGAAUGCCUUGCAAGACGAAAAACUCGCUAGACGAAAGAGUUUUUCAUUUUUUGAGUCGUUCCGCAAGACGAAUUUCCCUAUGGGCUUGCUUCGCAAGACGAAACGUCUUGCGAGUUCUUGCGAGUUUGUUUCCUUUUUCUUAAAGCCGCUAAGCCGUUAAUAGCUGUGCUUUGCAAGACGAAAAAACCGCAAGACGAAGAGGCUCGCGGAACGGAUUAAUUUCGUCUUGCGAGGCACCACUGUAUGGGAAAAGAAAUCUAUAGAGAUCCCUGAGCACAAUUCAAGUGAGGUAAAAUGCAGGGAGACCAAGGGCUUACAAAGUGUUAGAGCCUGCACCAUAAGUGGAAACAAUCGUGUAGUAGACAUAUAACAAGUAGGCGAGUAUGAUAAAAUACCAGUAAAUGAUGGCUUGGGUUGUUUAAUGGUGCUUCUGGUUUCUGUCAGACCAAUUCUCAAGACUUUAGAACUGGAGGUGAAGAAAGGUCUCACACUAGGAAGCCAUGCAUUAUCAUCCAAAGCAUCAAGAAGAGAUUGUGGGACAAAUCACAAGUCUGAGACCACCAAUUCAUUCAUGUUAUCUCCUGUGCCUUUUCUUGGCUUCUGAACUCAGCCUUCUGGCAAGAGUAUUACUGUUAGCCACUUUGAGUGAGAUUUUGUUACUUUAAAAACCUCUUCAUACUGAUUCAUUUCAGAAAAAACAAUCAGCAUUUCUGAUUAGAGUUUGACGUAGGUGGGGGGAAUUCAAGAGUAGCUUUUGCUUAUAAAUGGAGGAACAAUUUACUUUCCAAAUUGCUUGCAGCCUCAGCUGUUGCUGCCUUCUAGUCAGAACAAUAAUUAAAAGCUAAGUAAAAGGAAUAUGUUUUUAAGACUAACUACUAAAUGGCUGGCUUUAAAUAACAGUAAUGAUAAAUAAUAAAAUUCAAUCCUACUGUUGUCCUUUCUUACAUAAAACCACCGGAAUGAACAGAAACCUUCUUAAACACUCCUCAGUUAUGUACAUCUAUACACACAUAUGGUUCCCCCAGGUGCUCAAACUUGGUAAAAAUAUCUACCAAGUGAAUCAUCUAAAAUAUUUGGCAAGGAAAACAUGAAUCAGCAAAACAACUGUGAUCAACCUACAGAUUUUUCUUGUUACUUUGAAAGCAAUUGUCCCGCAAACCUUCCCCAUGCUCCUUCCUAGUAUGCCUGAAAGUGCAACCUAAGCGCAUACUUUGGAUGACACAUUUUGGCACAGGGCAAAAGCACAGGUCUCUUGCUGCCGCUGUGGCUCUUCUAGCAGUGUAACCAGAAGCAUUUCUACAUUUGAAGUAGAAACAGGCAGUUAUCUGCCUCGACAGACAGAACCCGUUGCAAGACAAAAGUCUUGUCUAUAGACAGCACCUACAGGGUUCAUAUGGCCCCUCCAUGUGUUGAAAGAUGCAUGGGGAGGUGGGUGCGCUGCCACCAAUACACACAGAAGUCAGUUCUGCAGUCAUUCCUGCAUUCAGCUGGAUUGUAAAGGGGCUCUGCUUACAUGCUGAUGUAUUUACGGGACCGCCUCUCCUGGUAUGCCCCGCAGAGGACCUUAAGGUCCAUUAAUAACCAUAGUUUAGAGGUCCUGCGCCCUAAGGAAGUCAGACUAUCCUCCACCAGGGCCAGGGCCUUUUCAGUGAUGGCUCUGACCUGGUGGAAUGCUCUGUCCCAUGAGACUAGGGCCCUUCAGGAUUUAACUUGCUUCCACCGGGCCUGUAAGACAGAGCUAUUCCACCUGGCCUUUCAUUUGAAUUCAGCCUGAUCUUUUAUUUCCCUUCUCUUCCCUCCCCAUCCCCUUUUAUGAAGAUUACCCACUCUGAGACCCCACAGCUAAUUCUCCCCUGGCCUCCUCGCUGGCCCAAGUAGGACCAAUUCAGCUAGCCCUGGGGAUUAUCUAAUGCUUAUUGGAUGGAUUUACCCUAAAUUGAUUUCUGAACUUUGAAUUUUAUUGUUAUUCAUGUUUUUAUACUGUAUUUUAUGCUGCUUUUACAAUUAAGUGUUUUAAAUUUGUUGUUAGCCACCCUGAGCCCAGUUUUUGAACCGGGAAGGGUGGGGUAUUAAUAAUAAUAAUAAUAAUAAUAAUAAUAAUAAUAUGAUGUGGGCCACAUUAACCACGAACCCCAAACUUUGGGCUCCAAACGGGUGCCAAGAUUUUGCAGGAGGUUUUUUUGCAGCAUUUUGCAGUGAAAACGCCACAUUUUGCAGCGAAAACGCCACAUUUUUCACUGCCCGACAAACUGAGCAAUUGAUACAUCAAACACAGGGCUGGUAUUUAAUAGUAACUAUGAACCCCCAAAUCUAGGAUUCUCUCCAAACCAGUAUUAAGUACAAACCCCGAGUUUGAUGUAUCAGUUGCUCAGUUCAUGGGGUGCUGCAAAUCACUGCAAAAUUUUGGCACAGGUUUGUAGAGCACCCCAAGUUUAGAGGUUGUAGUUAAUUUUCCUACUGAUGUCUAUGAAGAGGGGCCCAGACUGGGCCAAAUUUCAUGUUGCUGUUCCGGAGAACUGCCAGAACAAAAGAAUGGAUAUAUGGGGGGGGGGCAUUCUCACCAGCACUGUCAUACAAUAUAGUCUAACUCUGCAUCUAUAUUUUGGGAGGUGUUGAAUAUUAAUGUACAGGAUGAAGAGUUAAGAAGUCUAGUCUGUUUCAGAGGAAAAACAUAAGUAGCACAGCACAUUACAGACUACAAGGACAGAACAUCAUUUCUGAUUACCUGUCAAAGGCUCCCUUGCACAAAAACAAUGCACAUGUGCACAAGAUCAUCUGCUCCCUCUUUAGUGAUCUGUAGGAUUAAAAAAGCAAACAAGGUACCCCUGCCUGUACGGGCCAGUCUUGCCACACUCUAGGGUUGUGCGCUCAUCUCACUUAAGUGGCCGGGAGCCAGUGCUGUCCGCAGACACUUCCGGGUCACGUGGCCAGCGUGACAAGCUGCAUCUGGCGAGCCAGCGCAGCACACGGAACGCCGUUUACCUUCCCACUAGUAGCGGUCCCUAUUUAUCUACUUGCACCCGGGGGUGCUUUCGAACUGCUAGGUUGGCAGGCGCUGGGACCGAACGACGGGAGCUCACCCCGCCGCGGGGAUUCGAACCGCCGACCAUGCGAUCGGCAAGUCCUAGGCGCUGAGGUUUUACCCACAGUGCCACCCGCGUCCCCCCAAACAAACCAGAGCUCUAAAAUGCCCACUUCAGAGUGUCUCUUAACAGAAAGAAGUACCUUAUUUCUUGCAUACUUCUGGAAACAAUAUAUACAGUGGUACUUUGGGUUACAUACGCUUCAGGUUACAGACUCCGCUAACCCAGAAAUAUUACCUCGGGUUAAGAACUUUGCUUCGGGAUGAGAACAGAAAUCGUGCUUCGGCAGUGCGGCGGCAGUGGGAGGCCCCAUUAGCUAAAGUGGUGCUUCAGGUUAAGAACAGUUUCAGGUUAAGAACGGACCUCCGGAACGAAUUAAAUUCUUAACCUGAGGUACCACUGUACUGGAAUUAACAGCAUCUGAGCAAAUACAGAAAAUGUGGUUCCGAGAUAACCCAAAGGCUUAUUCUGCAUAACAAAAUAAAUUGCUACUGGACUGCUGUCACCAGAGCUGCAUGUCAGGACCCCCCCCCCCAAAUGAUUUGAGAACACCCAAACACAUUACUUGGAAGCUAGCUCCAUCCAUCUGCAUUAUUCCUAUUUCACCACGUUUUCAGGACCAAGGUUUGAAUUUUGGAAAGCUGCCUCCUUGUUUCUGAAUGCCUGAGGAUUGGCAAAAUCGCCAUGUGGAGCACUCCCUAGGACAAACAAAAGCUCCUGUAUUUUGUGAAUAGCUUACAGCCUAACAAAAGAUGCCAAGAAACUGCUCAGAUUACUUCUCAGGGCAUUAAAAAAACAAAACAAAAAACCUCUGGGCACAGAGGAAUGUAGCUGGCACUCGACCCUCCUGCUGUUUUCAAGGGCACUGACAUCUGAAUUUGAAAUAAGCCUCUUCUUGUCUUUAAAUUGUUUUCCCCGAGACACGCAUGGGCACAGAGCUGCCCAGACAUAUAGCUGCUACCAUCUGCAAGGACUCUGGAACAGCAGAUGGUCAGAGGGAUGACAGUGUGAGGCAGAGAGAAAGAAAGAAGGGGCAGGUGCAGGCAAAAUUGCUAAUUAGAUAUGGAACAUUAAGUUUCCAUUCAGCACCUUAAACAAAAAAUAAAAUAAAACUACCCACAGAGCUUAGAUAAACCAAAUUCUCUGGGAGAGAUUGUAGCUCCCCAAGAAGAAAGGAGAGUUUUUUUCUUGGGCAGGAAAUAAUUUUUAAAACUGAGAAAAGAAUUUUUUGGAUUUACUCUGUAUUUUGAGCUGCAGACAAAGGAUUCAGGUAGACAGAAGCUUAUGAAUAGGAAAGACUGGCCCCAAAACGUCUUGAAAGACAGCAGUCCUCAAAAUACAAAGUCCAAAAUUCAUAGGAACAACUAAUUCUCAUUCCAGUUAUCUCUUUUAAACAUGUUCCAUCCUCUCCCAGUCAUUUUAUUGCAUAUUCUAACUGUACAUUUCUUUUUCAAAAAAUCAUUUAGAAAUUCAAAGGUUUACAAAUUUAAUACACAUUAUAUACUUUCUAUUUAAUAUUAGUUUACCAUUUGACUUCCCCUCCACCCCUCCAUGGUUUCCCCAUAUUCUCUAAUAUUGCUGCAUAUUAUAAUUACUCUAUGCUUUAUCCUUUCUGCUUAUUCUCAGAUACAUAUUUUACUGCUGUUCUUCAUUCAAAUCCUACUUGCAAUUUUGCAUGUUUACAAUAGUGCUUUAGAUAUUCCCCAAAUAUCUUCCAAUCCUCCUUAAAAUCUUCUUCUUCUUGAUCUCUAAUUUUCAUAGCUACAUUUGCCAAUUUGGCAUAUUUCGUCAAUUUUAAUUGCAUCUCUUCUUUUGUAGGUACCACUUCCUCUCGCCAUUUCGCGCACAUAGUACCUUUGCUGAUGCCGUUGCAUAUAAAAAUAAGUUCAUUUAAAUAUUUAAAUAUUUUCUUUACCUCAUUAUAGACCAGGCAUAGGCAACCUUUGGCCCUCCAGAUGUUUUGGACUACAGUUCCCAUCAUCCCUGACCACUGGUCCUGUUAGCUAGGGAUCAUGGGAGUUGUAGGCCAAAACAUCUGGAGGGCCAAAGGUUGCCUAUGCCUGUUAUAGACCAUCACCCCAAAAUCCUUAGCCACUCUACAUGUCCACCACAUAUGGUAAAAUGUACCUUCUACUUCUUUACAUUUCUAACUGAUACCUGACUCAGAUUUAUACAAUUUUGCUCAUUUGCUUUGUGUCAGAUGCCAUCUAUGAAUCAUUUUCAUAAAAUUUUCUUUCAGAGGAUAACACGCUGGGAAUUUCAGAUUUGAUUUCCACAAUUUUCCCCACGACUCCAUCUUGAUAUUAUGUCCCACAUCUCUAGCCCAGUGACUCAAAGCAGAUUUAACCAUUUCAUCUUUGGUUUGCCAUUCCAACAAAAUCAUAUACAUCCAUGAGAUUAUUCUCUCCCCCCUAUUCUCUGUUAGCUCCUUUUCAAACUGAGAGCUUUGGUUAAUAAAACCACACUGCUUAUCUUGUUAUUCUGACUUUAUGCUUCUGCCAUUAACACAGAGGAAAAACAUGCAGAAUUAACAAUAGCAAUAUAGAGUCAGCAGUAUGAUUCCUGCAUCCUGCUUGUGGGAAGCAUCUCCUAAGGCAGUGAAAUUUUACACGUGUGUGUGUGUGUGUGUGUGUGUGUGUGUAACUGUGUGUAACCUAGUGAAUUUUGAGUGGAUGAAAUGUAACUAUGUAGCCUAAUGUACAAAGCAGAGCUGGCUUAGGACGUUUUGCUGCUUGAGGUUAAACAGAAAAUGGCUUACUGCCGCUAAAGUUGCCCCCAUCAAAGUUGUCGCGGGAGAAAAAAGAAAGCUGGAGAGGAGUAGGCAGUGGCAACAGUGGAGGAGGAGGAGCAAGCAGUGGUAGUGUUGGAAGAAGAGUUUGGAUUUGCUAUCCCGCUUUAUCACUACCUGAAGGAGUCUCAAAGCGGCUAACAUUCUCCUUUCCCUUCCUCCCCCACAACAAAAACUCUGUGAGGUGAGUGGGGCUGAGAGACUUCAAAGAAGUGUGACUAGCCCAAGAUCACCCAGCAGCUGCAUGUGGAGGAGCGGAGACACGAACCCGGUUCACCAGAUUACGAGUCUACCGCUCUUAACCACUACACUACACUGGCAUGCUCCUCAGAUCUGCCACCUCUCUCGCUGUCUCCCAAUCUGCCACCUGAGGCAACUGCCUCACAACACCUCCUCCCCGACCAUUUAUUAAAUUUGUAUAUCACCCUUCAUCCAAAUACCUCAGGGCGGUUUACAGCAAAAAAAAAAAUACAAAUUAAAAACACAAAAUACACAAUAAAACCAAGAAUAUACCAAACCAAUAAAUGCCUCCCCUACCACAUGGGUGGGCCGGCCCUGAUACAAAGCCAUAUCCAUUGCUCCACUCGCUGCUUUCUCUCUGGAGUGUGGCUCUUGGUCUGAAAGAGGUUCCCACAUGCCUGACAUAUAGGAUUCCUAUGAAAGAGUAAACUCUUGGUUUGACUUGUGAAUUCUAGUCUUUGUCCUUUCCAAAUGCUUCAGUGCCCUUUGGGGUGCCAUCUGUAUUAACCUGUAAAAUUAUGGCAUAAUGAACAACAGCAGCAGCAGGCAGGAAACUUGUGUCCCCUCCCUCGCCCCACUCCCAACACCCAGGCAUGCAGAGACUGAGAAAAUUAGCCAAUUGAGGUCACAAGAGACCUUGAAUACUAUAGUUGCUGCUUCUCCCUCUGAAUAAAAAGAAUGUUUUGGGUUCUGAAAGCAACCACCUGUGGGGGAAUGAGAGUUUCCUAGCUUCUAGCCAUGCCUUCUUCACCUCUGCAAGCCAGCCUUGCAUUUUCUUUCUGAAUGAGAGUUUCAUAAAUGCAGUUGUUCUAUUCUUGGCGUACUGUUUAAUUCAUGAACGCUCUUAACCAUCUGUCACAUUGAUCUCCUUCCUUUCACCUGCAGCUAGGCUAACAUUCUUCCGUACAAGAAUGAAAAGAUUACCAAUUCAGCUUUUCUAAGCAAGCAAGCAUACAACUGCAUCAUCCUAAAAAAUGGAAGCAAAUUCGUCCCAAGUAAGAAAUUUAUUGGUUGGACAGGGUUCUCAAAACUACCAACAUGAGUCUGACCAAACUGCGGGAGGCAGUGGAAGACAGGAGUGCCUGGUGUGCUCUGGUCCAUGGGGUCACAAAGAGUCGGACAUGACUGAACGACUGAACAACAAGAAAUUUCUCUUCUCAGUGUAGAAUACUGUGCUGGGCCCAGGGGUUAACCCACGCAACGCGAUCCAUGUCUGGUCCCGAAUCCAAGGAUUCUAUGAGGAGUCAGUCCAACAGGGCCAAGGCAGGAAACCAGGCUAGGUCAGGCACAGGGUAACAGGCAGGUUCCAGCAAGCAGCAAUGUUGCUCCCGCAACCUGGGGUGGGGUCAGGCAGCCUUUUAUCUCUGACGGGGUAACGGCCGGUCCUGAUCCCCUGGUGACUCACCUCCCUGUCUCACCCAAAGGCGAGCACUCCUCUUGUGGUUACUCAGGUCUCUCCUUCUUUCAGACCUGAGUCUCUGCAGCUCGGAAGAUGUCAGUGGGUUAUUAGACCCAGAGGCCGCCUCAUCCUCUCCUGACCCAACUGGUAGUGGAGCAGCUGCACGUGAUUGCCCAGCAGAGGGCAAUGAGGUAAUCCCCGCAUCUGGAGCCAGGGCAGGCUCAGGCCCCUGACUCCGCUCAGCUGGUGCUUGUUGCAGCGGAACCUGUGCAGACUGGGGCUGUUCAGAAUCAGGCCCCAGACUCGGUUCAUCUGCUGCCUGAGGCAGAGGAUCUGGUGUGGAUGAAGACUCCUCCGGUUCCGAGUCCGAACCGAAGUCCCAGGCCAUCACAAAUGCCUACCAAAUACAAGCAUCUUCACUGCAGGCCUAGGUAUGAGAUGUGGACUGACUCAGCACCUGAACCGCUGUGCAGCUGUAUAAUGGGCAUGCAUAAAUACCACCUUAUAUUGAAAACCUACAUAUCUGUAUGCUUCCAUUCAAAACACACCACAAAAUCCAUUAUCUACAGCAGAGGUGGCUAACCCAUAACCUGAAGGCUACAUAUGGCCCUCAGUAUGUUUUUACUGCCCCCCAAACCUUCCAAACUGGUAGAAAUAAAGUAACAGAAUAAAUAGUUUAAAUAUUUGUUUGAUGAACCCAUGGGAUCCCCACUGUGCUCCUGAUGCCAAAAGGUGUUUUUGUUGUUGCCCCCUCUCAACUUCAUCCAUUAAAAAUUAUUGUUGUUGUUAUUAUUAUUAUUUACUAAUUGCUCUCAUAGGUACCCCAUUGUGAUACCACAAGGCCCCUUCACAAUUUUUAAACUGACCUCUAUCAUGGGUUCCCUAUCGUAAUGGCAAACAUUUUUUGACCUCUUGGCGGCCAUCUUCUUUUUGAGACUGCUACUCUUGACCUCCAAAAUGUAUCCUUUAAAAACUUUGUGUCAAUAUCUAUAUCUUGAAUGUGUAGCAGGACAGACUGCAGAUUGUAUACACUCUUUCUAUCUAUUCAGUUGAUUUCUGCUUUUUAUUCCAUGUCCUCAGCGGCGUAGCGUGGGUUGUCAGCACCUGGGGCAAGGCAAGUAAUUUGCGCCCCCUAACCCGGGGCAAGGCAAGUAAUUUGCGCCCCCUAACCCGGGGCAAGGCAAGUAAUUUGUGCCCCCUAACCCGGGGCAAGGCAAGUAAUUUGCGCCCCCUAACCCGGGGCAAGGCAAGUAAUUUGCGCCCCUAACCCGGGGCAAGGCAAGUAAUUUGCGCCCCCUAACCCGGGGCAAGGCAAGUAAUUUGCGCCCCCUAGCCCCUAACCUGCCGCUGCUGCCAGCUUCUUCUUGCUGCUGCCUGGUCUGGUCUGGUGUGGUUCUCUCCCCCGCUCAGCGCUGCGCUGGGCGGCUGCUGCACUGUCCCUCCCCCAGAUAGUCCCUCGCUGUCUCUCCGCACCGCACGCCUGGCACCCACCCCCUCCACAGUGGGCGGCGACCCAGCGGCUCGGAUCGGAUUCGCACAGCCUGCACUGCAGUGAGAGAGAGUGAGUGAGCCAGGUAGGGGCAGAGAGCUGCGAGUGCGAGCGCCCCCCCCGAUGUUGCGCCCGGUGCGGCAGGCCCCCCCGCACCCCCCACGCUAUGCCACUGCAUGUCCUAGUGUUGAAUUUUGAAUUCCUAGCACUUAUAACUAGCUGUGGUGAUACCAGAACAUAUUUUGCCCAGAUCUCCAACAUGGCUUCCACAUUGCAGACUCAGUUCCAUCAUUUACUUCUUUGCCUUCAAAGCAGAACCAUCUGAUUGUCUGACCAUCUGCCUAGCUAGAAGAAGAAUAGUGUGUGUGUGUAGACUGGAAUCCAUUAGAAAAUGUUUAAUUAAAGCUGGUCCUAAGCGUCAAUGGGACGCGGGUGGCGCUGUGGUAAAACCUCAGUGCCUAGGACUUGCCGAUCGUAUGGUCGGCGGUUCGAAUCCCCGCGGCGGGGUGAGCUCCCGUCUUUCAGUCCCAGCUCCUGCCCACCUAGCAGUUCGAAAGCACCCCUAAGUGCAAGUAGAUAAAUAGGGACCGCUUACUGGCGGGAAGGUAAACAGCAUUUCUGUGUGCUGCGCUGGUGCUGGCUUGCCAGAGCAGCUUCGUCACGCUGGCCACGUGACCCGGAAGUGUCUGCAGACAGCGCUGGCUCCCGGCCACUUAAGUGAGAUGAGCGCACAACCCUAGAGUCGGACACGACUGGCCCAUACGGGCAGGGGUACCUUUACCUUUACCUUUAAGCGUCAAUAAUGUUAAAAGGAAGUAGAAGCAGUUGCUGCCCUUUAUGGGUUUUCUUUUUAAAUAAUGAUUUCUCCCACAGUUUUUAAAGUAACCAGAUGUCAAACCAUUUAAGGGAUCAAUUAGGACAGAAACCAAAGUGGAUUGCAAAGCUUGGCUCUUAUGAGCAUCUUCUGUGACACACAGUAUAACUAUUUGAACUAGUUUUCCCUGUCAUCUUCGUAUCAGCAUUACUCUGGCUAGACAUAAGGACAGAGAUGAGAUGAGUAGGUUAGCAAAACAUUCAAGAACCGAAUUCACCCUGAUUUCUGAACCUUGUUUUCUUUUCACAGGUCUUCACCCAAAUAGUUUAUCCUCCCCACAUCCGAAGGCUUGUUUAUUACAUGAAAUCAUCACUUUGUGAAAAGUAUCGGGUAAGCAAAAAGGAGACAUUCAAAAUUUGUAGUCCUGUUGGACAGCUUAAAUAACUUCUUUGGUGGAAAGAAUGUUCUGCUCCUGCUCUGAAAUGAACAUCUUUAGCGGUUUAGCAACAAUUUGGCUAGUAAACGUAUCCAAAAUAUCAAUACGAUAUUACCCUGUGUAAAAAAAUACCACAAGCCGGUGAGAUCAUAAGGGGCUUUCAGAAGGAAUUUUUAUAGCAGACUCAUGCCAAGAUUUAACUUUUUUCCUAGAAGCUUUGGCAUGUCCUAGAAAACAGUCAAAAGCAGAAAAAUAUAAGAACUCUGAUGACUGCAUCUGGAGGAAAUUUACAUUCUGGUUCAGAACUUACUUAAGCCAAAGCAUUUGGAUUUAAGCUGAUGCACAGUCUAUAGUCUAAGUCUAUAUCUGUUUACUCAGAAUAGACAUGGUUAGGAUGGUGCUGUAUGCACCACUUUGCUCAGUAAAAUGUGGUAAGCACAAGUCUAAGCUUCAGUCUCAACAUUUUGAUUAUAACUCUGGUUCAGUCUGUGUAGAGACUGAUAAAAGUAAUGCAAAAUAAAUCACAGGAAAAUGCAGGAACAGUAACACUGGCAAUUUGUUGUUGUUUCGUCCUUUAGUCGGGUCCGACUCUUCGUGACCCCAUGGACCAGAGCACGCCAGGCACUCCUGUCUUCCACUGCCUCCCGCAGUUUACUCAAACUCAUGCUGGUAGCUUCGAGAACACUGUCCAACCAUCUUGUCCUCUGCUGUCCCCUUCUCCUUGUGCCCUCCAGGAGCACCAUAACAGACCAAAUGAAUCAGGUUUGACGCAUAUUCAGCAUCUCCUCUGAAUCACGUUCUGUAGUUUCUCUGACACUUGAUUGCAGCCUUUACCCAGAACUCACAAAAGCAGAUGUUUCUCUGAAGGUUUGUGUGAGAGAAGACAAAACAUGGAAGAGCUUUCCUUUUUGUUCACGUAUUUCUUGCAGCUUAUUUUAUCAGUGACCACAGUAAAUAGCAUCAUGUUAGAAGGCUGAUAAUUCAAGGGCAGUGAGAAGACGGACAGUGCCUGCAACAUUCCUUUGAAGUGUGUGCAUGAAGUCUCAAAAAGAGGGGAAAAGAAAAGAAAUUACACUCCUCUAUUUGACUCCUUUUGUGUCUGCAGAUGAUGCAUACAUACGUACGUAAUUUUAUUUGCAUGCCACAUUCUCAUAGCUCAAAUCACGCUCGAGGAGUCUUACAACAUGAAAAAACCACAUAAUUACAACAUAACAAAAGAAAUAAUAUGCAAUAAACAAAACAUUAAAAGCUACACAACCAAAAUGAAUAAUUUCUACAUCAGAGUCAAUCAGGACCCCACACUCCCAGGCCAUGUGGGAAAAGGCCUGCAGGUCUUCCAGGACACACAGCCAAGAUGGUCUCUGUCUCAAGAUGAUGGGCUAGGUGAUUUAACUGUCCAGUAUUCUAUCUGGGAGUGCAAAGUAAGAUGGAGUGGAAGAUGACUCCUUGCAUUGUGGUUCUGCUGGUUUUUGCAGUUUUGUUAAAUAUUCCACUGGUGGAACUUGAAUAAUCUCCCUAGGGAAGACAAGUCCAUAGCCAAAUGUCUUACUGCCAGGAUGCUGUCUUUGCUUGUCAUCAUCUAGAAGCAUUUGCACUCUAUUCAUAGCUGUAAUGACACAAAUCUAGCUCCCACCAUAAUAGCCUAAGGGCUAGUGAGCUAUUCCCUAUCCCACUACCUCUUGUCUGGAAAGCAUUUGUAGACUCAUAGACGGAAGAACUAGUAGAACUAACAGCAAAAAUUCUUUCUGACCAUUCCUCCAAGGAGGUCAAGGAAGGAUACCUGAGUUAAUAUCAUUUUAUCCUCAUGACAACCCUGUGAGGCAUGCUAGGCUAAAAGCUUCAAAGCUCAGUCAAGCCAGGAUUUUGAAUCCUGGACUUUCUCGUCCAAACUGAACCUUCUAUCCAGAACAACAAACUUCCGGCUUUGUUUUCUUUCUAACAUCUAUGCUGCACCAUUUUUUCAAGUACAACUGAACUGCAUCUGCAUUAUAUGUGACUAUCAGUGAAGACUCUGGUAACUACUAUUAAUCAUAUCUUGCAGGAGCUUUAGAUUAGGGUCAGUUUUGGAUUAGGGGAAACAUCACAUGGAUGCAAGCAGACAUAGUUCUUUUUAAAAAAAAAUAUUUAUUUUAUUUGAUUAGACAUUCAUACAAACAUUACUACACAUACACAUACACUUACAACCAUAAUAACAUAAUGAC